ACGCUCGACACCUACGGGGGGCAGCAGUAGGGAAUCUUCCACAAUGGACGCAAGUCUGAUGGAGCAACGCCGCGUGAGUGAAGAAGGUUUUCGGAUCGUAAAGCUCUGUUGUUGGUGAAGAAGGAUAGAGGUAGUAACUGGCCUUUAUUUGACGGUAAUCAACCAGAAAGUCACGGCUAACUACGUGCCAGCAGCUGCGGUAAUCUGAGCGGGCUGGCAAGGC
rnacentral:rRNA from 1 species